rnacentral:rRNA from 1 species
UACGUAGGGGGCAAGCGUUGUCCGGAUUUAUUGGGCGUAAAGAGCGUGUAGGCGGCCAGACAGGUCAGCUGUGAAAACUCGAGGCUCAACCUCGAGACGCCGAUGGAAACCAUUUGGCUAGAGUCCGGAAGAGGAGAGUGGAAUUCCUGGUGUAGCGGUGAAAUGCGCAGAUAUCAGGAAGAACACCCGUGGCUAAGGCGGCUCUCUAGUACGGUACUGACGCUGAGACGCGAAAGCGUGGGGAGCGAACAGG